AAUUAAAUAUUUAUUAAUAUUUUUAUUUAUUUUUAUAUUAAUUUAAGAAAAAUUUAUUUUAUUAAUUUUUUGAAAAAAUUAUUUUUAUUAUAGUUAAUUAGUAUCGUGAGAGAAAAUUUUUAAUUUUUAAAAAGAAAAAUUUAAUUUUUGUACCUUGUGUAUCAGGGUUUAUUAAAAAUAAAUUAUAUAUUUAAUAUUCUCGAAUUUAAAAGAUUUAAGUAAUUAAAAUUUUUAUUGUAAAAUAAAUAUUUUUAAUAAUUAUUUAGUAAUGAAAAGUUAUUCGUUUUUAAUUUUAUCUAGUUUUUUAAGAAAAAAAUUUAAUUUUUUUAUUAAUAAUAUUUUUAUUUUUUAUUAUUUUUAUAUUAUUAAUAAAAAAUAUUUUUAGGGAUUAGCUUAAAAAUAGAUUCUUAUUAAUUAAUUAAUUAAUAUAAAUAAAAUUAGGAUUAAAAAUUUUCAUAUUUUGAAGUAUGUAAUUAUUUAUUUUUUAUUAAUAUAAUUUGUAUAUUUUAUAAGUUUUUUAUUAAAAUUUAAUUUAAAAUUUUAAAAGAUUAGUAAUGAUGAUAAAAUUAGUAUAAAUAUUUUUAUAAAUUAAAUUCAAUUUUAAGGUUAAAUAUAAGAAUUCGGCAAAUAUUUUUUCACCUGUUUAUUAAAAACAUGUCCUUUUGUUAAAAAUUUAAGGUCUGGCCUGCUCUAUGAGUAAUUAAAUGGCCGCAGUAUUUUGACUGUGCUAAGGUAGCAUAAUCAUUAGUUUUUUAAUUGAAAGCUGGAAUGAAGGGUUGGAUGAAAAAAAGACUAUUUUUAUUUAAUUAUAUUAAAAUUUUAUUUUUAAGUUAAAAAGCUUAAAUUUUAUUAAAAGACGAGAAGACCCUAUAGAGUUUAAUAUAAAUUAGAUUUAAUAAAAUUAGGAUUUAUUUUUUUAUUUUAAAUUUAUAUUUAAUUGGGGUGAUUGAAAAAUUUAUUUAACUUUUUUUUUAUUUUAAUACUAAUAAGUAAUUUUUUGAUCCAAUAUUUUUGAUUAUAAGAUAAAAUUACCUUAGGGAUAACAGCGUAAUUUUAUUAGAGAGUUCAAAUCGAUAAUAAAGAUUGCGACCUCGAUGUUGGAUUAAAAUUUAUAAUUGGUGUAGAAGCUAAUUAAUUGAGUCUGUUCGACUUUUGAAAUUUUACAUGAUCUGAGUUUAAACCGGUGUAAGCCAGGUUGGUUUCUAUCUUUAAUUUUAUAAUUUAUUUUAGUACGAAAGGACCAAAUAAAUAAAUUAAAUUUUAUUUUUGAGUAAUAUU
rnacentral:rRNA from 1 species